UACGUAUGGUGCAAGCGUUAUCCGGAUUUACUGGGUGUAAAGGGUGCGUAGGUGGCAUGGCAAGUCAGAAGUGAAAACACGGGGCUCAACCCCGUGACUGCUUUUGAAACUGUCAAGCUAGAGUGCAGGAGAGGAAAGUGGAAUUCCUAGUGUAGCGGUGAAAUGCGUAGAUAUUAGGAGGAACACCAGUGGCGAAGGCGACUUUCUGGACUGUAACUGACACUGAGGCACGAAAGCGUGGGGAGCAAACAGG
rnacentral:rRNA from 1 species